rnacentral:rRNA from 1 species
GACGAACGCUGGCGGCGUGCUUAACACAUGCAAGUCGAACGGAAAGGCCCUGCUUUUGUGGGGUGCUCGAGUGGCGAACGGGUGAGUAACACGUGAGUAACCUGCCCUUGACUUUGGGAUAACUUCAGGAAACUGGGGCUAAUACCGGAUAGGAGCUCCUGCUGCAUGGUGGGGGUUGGAAAGUUUCGGCGGUUGGGGAUGGACUCGCGGCUUAUCAGCUUGUUGGUGGGGUAGUGGCUUACCAAGGCUUUGACGGGUAGCCGGCCUGAGAGGGUGACCGGCCACAUUGGGACUGAGGUACGGCACAGACGCCUACGGGAGGCAGCAGUGGGGAAUAUUGCACAAUGGGCGGAAGCCUGAUGCAGCAACGCCGCGUGCGGGAUGACGGCCUUCGGGUUGUAAACCGCUUUCGCCUGUGACGAAGCGUGAGUGACGGUAAUGGGUAAAGAAGCACCGGCUAACUACGUG